rnacentral:lncRNA from 1 species
GCCUUCCACAUCUAGUACUACUGUACUAGUAUAUUCCUUUCUCUCAAUUCAAGUGUUUUAUAUAUUUCCUUCGAAUAAUUUCAUAUAACUGGAUUGGUGAUCUCACAUGCAUUUUUCUGCGCCUGGAUACAAUUAAGACCUAUUUAUUAGGAAAAGAAAACAUUUAAGAUAAUUAAGAGUCCACUUCCCUAAAAAGAAACUCUCUUUUUUCUACAUGGUUCAAUCAACUUUCAGUACUCUCUCUAUUCCAUAUUAAGUGAACCAUUGAAAUUUUUUAUUAGAGUUCAAAAUAUGUUAAUUUUUUAAUGUUCAAGGGAAUUGCUUACACUUGUUUCAGUAUCUACCUUUCUUUAAUGAGGUUCUUAUUUAAUUACUUUAUAUUUUUUAAAAGAAUAAUUUGAAAAUAAUUAAAAAAAGUAAUAAUAGAAAAUAAUAUGUAAGGAAUAAAAUAUUUGUAAAGAGUAUGGAGAAUUGCGAAAGUAAAAUGAACUCAUAACCGUAUAAGUGAUUCCAAAAGGGGUGUCGUGGCAGUUUAUGAGCCAAGUGAAAGGCACAUGAGGAGCACGUGAGCCAGCUGUAGAAGUUCACUUGGGCAGUUAAAAGAUGAACGGUGUAGAUUAAAUCAAUCUAAAGGAAAUAAUCAGACAAUGGAGAGGCGCCCAGUCAACUAUAACUACAAAAAAGAGAGUAACGAACUCAGUUUUGGACUGGUAUUCCUUUACUCAAAUUCUCUCUUCUUCAUCUUCUUCUACCUAAUUCUCUCCUACAAUUAUUCUAACAUUCUGAACUUCGCCAUUACAUAAUCGGAGCUAGGCCUUGGAGCUUUCUGGGAAUCCAAUUGUAAUAGUUACUUGAAUUCUUUCCAGUUCGGUUGUAACUGCCAGUUGAUUCUUAAUAAAAUUCGGUCCCAAUUCAGCAUUCGAAUUCAUUUGUUUUUCAUAAAUCGAUUGGGUCUAUUACAAAGUGGUAUCAGAGCCACCCAUCACCCUUCGCGCCCACUGUACCUGGGAUGGUGACGUCGGUAUGGCAGUGUUCGACCGGGGCUAGCAAUGUUUAGCGCACAACCAUUGAGGCACCUGGGCACCUGACUCGAAAAGGGCUACCUGAGAACGAGUUACCUACAUAAGUAAAGUGAAAGCUACCCAGAGUGGAGCCGUCGAGGACGACAGAUGCGGAGCGUGGUAUUUGUUAUGGUCCAUUUCAAAGUACCACAUCGGUACUACAAAGUAUUGGUGUGGGGUAUUUAUAGCCUUGGGCUCUCCAACCUUAAUAGCUAGCUUUUGGGGGUACGGUUCUCCUAAGGUUAUAAAAUUGGUAUCAGAGCCAGGUUUUGGCCAUCAUGACAAUCCCGAAAACAUGAUCCAAGUCGACUGAAGAAUUUUUCAAGAAGGUGGAUGCCCAGUUACAGAGUUACAUUACGGCAAUGGUUAAAAAUUUGAUGAAUUAGACAAAAAAUGGAUAUCCUAAUGGAGAAAUUGAUUCCCAGUCACGAUGAAAUUUUGGGCAAUGCACCAAGAGAUCAGCAGCAGAUAGAUUUCUCAGGUAAUAGAUCAACAAGGAGUGAGUUUGACGAUUAUAGUAGAAAUCAAGGGAAUAACUAGCCUCGCUUUGAGUUUCCUUUCUUUGAUGGGUUUGACCCUUGUUCGUGGCUGAGGAGGGCGGAUAGAUAUUUCCAGUAUAAUCGCCAUGGAUUUUAUUGAAGGCCUACCCUCUUCGGGACAGCGAAAUGCCAUAUUAGUGGUGGUGCACAAACUAACUAAGUAUGAACAUUUCCUACCAUUGAAACACUCUUUUUCAGCUCAGGAAGGGGCUACAUUAUUCCUUAACGAAAUUUACAGACUUCAUGGGUUGCCUAGCACUAUUAUAUCGGGAUUUGGUGUUUACAAGCCAUUUUUGGCAGCAUCUGUUCAAAUUUAUGUGUACUAAGUUGACCAUGUCAACCUCCUACCACCCACAGACGGGUGGUUAAAUGGAAAUAUUAAAUCGCUGCUUAGAAUCUUAUCUCCGAGCCAUGGUCUUUACUAAUCCUAAGUAGUGGCUCAAGUGGUUACCAUUAGCGGAGUGGUGGUCUAACACCAACCACCACAGUUACAUCAACACCACUCUCUUUCAAUUAAGCUCUUUACAAAUAUGCUCCACCCCAGGUGCCUAUGGGUUCCCUACGUCACUUUAUUUGUACCCCAGUUGGCCUAUGUUUGGCUGAGAGGCAACAACAAUUAUAACACUUAAAGGACAAUAUAGUGCAAGCGCAGGCAAGAGUGAAGUUUUUCACAGAUAGACAUCGAUCAGAUAGAACACUAUAGGUUGGUGACAUGGCCUACUUGAAACUACAACCUUAUCAACAGAACUCCGUUGAGCUAAGACAAAACUUGAAGCUUAGUGCACGUUACUAUGGGCCUUAUAAAAUUCUUGAGAAGAUAGGUGCAGUAGCGUACCUCAUGGAUCUUCCCUCGGGAUAUCUGAUCCAUCCCAUCUUUUAUGUUUCAAAGUUAAAGAAACUGGUAGGGUCCAAUCUGGUAGCUCAACAACAACCUCCUGCCUGCGGUUCAGAUGGUUGAAUACUUGUGCAACCGGUGGCUAUACUCCAGAGAAAACUAUUUAAGUUGAACAACGUCGUUAGGGUGAAGGUCUUGGUAUAAUGGGCGAAUUUAGGACCAGAUUCAACUACUUGGAAGGAUUGGGGUUACAUUUCAAGUUGUUUUCCAGAGUUUGUCGACCAGCUCCGACCUUGAGGACAAGGUCGAUUUGUGCACGGCGGGUUUGUAAGGAAUGAAAUAUUUGUAAAGAGUGUGGAGAAUUGGGAAAGUAAAAUGAAUUCAUAACCAUAUAAGUGAUUCCAAAAGGGGUGUCGUGGACGGCGG